rnacentral:rRNA from 1 species
UACGGGGGGAGCAAGCGUUGUUCGGAUUUACUGGCGUAAAGGGCGCGUAGGCGGUCGUGACAAGUCACUUGUGAAAUCUCCGGGCUUAACUCGGAACGGUCAAGUGAUACUGUCGGACUAGAGUGCAGAAGGGGCAACUGGAAUUCUCGGUGUAGCGGUGAAAUGCGUAGAUAUCGAGAGGAACACCUGCGGCGAAGGCGGGUUGCUGGGCUGACACUGACGGCUGAGGCGCGAAAGCCAGGGGAGCGAACGGG